rnacentral:rRNA from 1 species
AUGCUUGAUCUUAAUGAGUUGCGCCCUGAUCUCAAUGAGCUUCCUCAUGAUAUGGAUCAGCAGCAACCCAACAUACAACAAGGAAAUUGGGCAGAAAGUGGUCGAUCUGUUUACUACACGCAGGCAAGUCGUGAUGGUAACCCUACGAGCCAUGACAAUGUGGCAGGUCAGUCAUUAGCCCGUGGUGCCCCUGUAAUGGUGUCUUUGCAGUCAGAGAGUCAUACUCUUGAUCACACGGGAACCGAGGCAAAUGUUCCUGUUGGGGAACGUAGCAGAAUUUUAAAAUUUCUACGCAUCACCAAGAUCAAUCUAUGGAGUCAUCUAGCAACGAGGGAUAGGGGAGUGCAUCUACAUACCCUUGUAGAUCGCGAGCGAAAGCGUUCAAGAGAACGGGGUUGA